rnacentral:tRNA from 1 species
CAUGUAGCUCAGCAGGAUAGAGCGACCGCCUCCUAAGCGGUAGGUCGGAGGUUCGAAUCCCCUCAUG